AACACAUAAUAACAUUCAGUGAACCUCCUGCUGUGAACGGGAUACAGUUCCAUAUUUCGGUUUAAGUACAUCGGCUUCCUAAAGGUACAUAACGAAAGUCAUGCGCCCGUCGCAGAGUCAGGGCGCGUAGCGAGCAGGAGAAAGGCGAGGUCAGAACCGCGAGGCGAGUCCCCCGCCGCGGCUGUCGGCGUGCGAGGUCAGAACCGCGAGGCGAGUCCCCCGCCGCGGCAGUCGGCGUGCGAGGUCAGAACCGCGAGGCGAGUCCCCCGCCGCGGCAGUCGGCGUGCGAGGUCAGAACCGCGAGGCGAGUCCCCCGCCGCGGCAGUCGGCGUGCGAGGUCAGAACCGCGAGGCGAGUCCCCCGCCGCGGCAGUCGGCGUGCGAGGUCAGAACCGCGAGGCGAGUCCCCCGCCGCGGCAGUCGGCGUGCGAGGUCAGAACCGCGAGGCGAGUCCCCCGCCGCGGCUGUCGGCGUGCGAGGUCAGAACCGCGAGGCGAGUCCCCCGCCGCGGCAGUCGGCGUGCGAGGUCAGAACCGCGAGGCGAGUCCCCCGCCGCGGCAGUCGGCGUGCGAGGUCAGAACCGCGAGGCGAGUCCCCCGCCGCGGCAGUCGGCGUGCGAGGUCAGAACCGCGAGGCGAGUCCCCCGCCGCGGCAGUCGGCGUGCGAGGUCAGAAC